UAAGACGAGAAGACCCCAUGAAGCUUCAAAUAAGUAUCAACUGUUAACCUUACACCACCAGAUACCCAAUAGCUAUGACUACUAAUUUUUGGUUGGGGCGACCGCGGAGCAAAACAAAACCUCCACAAUGAAAAGACCUAAUCCCAUUAUUCAAGAACAACUGUUCUAACAAUCAACACAUUGACAUAAUUGACCCAAACCCCCCCCCCUUGAUCAAUGAACCAAGUUACUCUGGGGAUAACAGCGCUAUCUAUUUCAAGAGUACAUAUCGACAAAUGGGUUUACGACCUCGAUGUUGGAUCGGGGUAUCCCAGUGGUGCAGCCGCUACUAAAGGUUCGUUUGUUCAACGAUUAAAACCCCACGUGAUCUGAGUU
rnacentral:rRNA from 1 species